GGGCAUGUGGUGUAGUUGGUUAUCACGCUCGCUUAGCACGCGCGAUUGCGAGAGGGGUCCGGUUCGAUCCCGGACAUGUCCA
rnacentral:tRNA from 1 species